UGGGGAAUUUUGGACAAUGGGCGCAAGCCUGAUCCAGCCAUGCCGCGUGCGGGAAGAAGGCCUUCGGGUUGUAAACCGCUUUUGGCCGGAACGAAACGGUGACGCUUAACACGUGUCGCUAAUGACGGUACCGGCAGAAUAAGCACCGGCUAACUACGUGCCAGCAGCCGCGGUAAUACGUAGGGUGCGAGCGUUAAUCGGAAUUACUGGGCGUAAAGCGUACGCAGGCGGCGAGGUAAGACAGAUGUGAAAUCCCCGGGCCCAACCUGGGAACUGCAUUUGUGACUGCCUUGCUCGAGUCCGUCAGAGGGGGGUGGAAUUCCACGUGUAGCAGUGAAAUGCGUAGAUAUGUGGAGGAACACCGAUGGCGAAGGCAGCCCCCUGGGAUGAGACUGACGCUCAGGUACGAAAGCGUGGGGAGCAAACA
rnacentral:rRNA from 1 species